AGUGAACGCUGGCGGUAGGCCUAACACAUGCAAGUCGAACGGCAGCACAGUAAGAGCUUGCUCUUACGGGUGGCGAGUGGCGGACGGGUGAGGAAUACAUCGGAAUCUACUUUUUCGUGGGGGAUAACGUAGGGAAACUUACGCUAAUACCGCAUACGACCUACGGGUGAAAGCAGGGGAUCUUCGGACCUUGCGCGAUUGAAUGAGCCGAUGUCGGAUUAGCUAGUUGGCGGGGUAAAGGCCCACCAAGGCGACGAUCCGUAGCUGGUCUGAGAGGAUGAUCAGCCACACUGGAACUGAGACACGGUCCAGACUCCUACGGGAGGCAGCAGUGGGGAAUAUUGGACAAUGGGCGCAAGCCUGAUCCAGCCAUACCGCGUGGGUGAAGAAGGCCUUCGGGUUGUAUAGCCCUUUUGUUGGGAAAGAAAAGCAGCAGGUUAAGACCCCGCUGUUCUGACGGUACCCAAAGAAUAAGCACCGGCUAACUUCGU
rnacentral:rRNA from 1 species